rnacentral:rRNA from 1 species
AAUAGUCGAAAGGCUGAACCAGCAAUUUGGAAGAAUGAAAAACUAGAUUCUGUAUAAAAUUCUAGAUAAGAAAAAAGAGUCUGACAAUUUUUUAUCUAUAAGUCUUGACCAAAUUACGUGCCAGCAGUCGCGGUAAUACGUAGAAGACUAGUGUUAUUCAUCUUUAAUCGGUAUAAAGGGUACCUAGACAGAAUACCAAGCCAAAAUUGGAACUAGUAUUCUAGAGUUUUAUGUGGGAAUGUACGAAUUACUGGUGGAAAGAUUAAAUUUUAUUAUACUGGUAGGACGGGUGACGGCAAAGGCGAUAUUCUAUGUAAAAACUGACGUUGAGGGACGAAGCCUUGGGUAGCAAGAAGGAUUCGAUACCCUAGUAGUCCAAGGAGACAAAUAUGAGUGCCAUAGACUAGAAUAAUUUAGUUUAUAAAUGAAAGUGUAAGCAUUCCACCUCAUGACUAAGGCGGAAAUGCACAAAUUGAAAUCAUUAGACCGUUUCUGAAAUCAGUAGUGAAGUAUGUUAUUUAAUUCGAUAAUCCGCGAAUAACCUUACCACGUUUUGAAUAUUAACGCAAGUUAUUACAAGUGUUGCACGGCUGUCUUCAGUUAAUGUCGUGAGAUUUUGAUUCAUUUCUUUAAUUAACGAAAACCCUUUCUUUAUUUGUUUUUAAAGAUUUUUCCUUUAUAUGAGGUUUAAUAACGAGGGACCAAGACAAGUCAUCAUGGCCUUAAU